rnacentral:lncRNA from 1 species
GAGAUCCGGUGUCUGCAAAUUUCUACGUGUCGUGACUUUUCUUUUUGCUCCUUUAUUUUUCUUUUUAUUUUAUUUUAGUGGAGUGACAGCUUAUCUAUUUUGGGAGAUAUUAAAAGUUUAUUUAUUAGUUAUUGGUAAGAUUUAGUUUAGAGGAUGUUUGUUUCAUUUUGGAUUGUGUCCUAAUCAUGAAAAUGGUCCAAUA